GCUAACUACGGGCCAGCAGCCGCGGUAAGACGGAGGGGCCGAGCGUUGUCCGGAGUUACUGGGCGUAAAGGGCGCGCAGGCGGCCGGUCGCAUCGGCGGUGAAAGCCCCCCGCUCAACGGGGGAGGGUCCGUCGAGAUGGAUCGGCUGGAGGCAGGGAGAGGGCGGUGGAAUUCCGGGUGUAGUGGUGAAAUGCGUAGAGAUCCGGAGGAACACCAGUGGCGAAGGCGGCCGCCUGGACCUGACCUGACGCUGAGGCGCGAAGGCGUGGGGAGCGAACGGGAUUAGAUACCCUUGUAGUC
rnacentral:rRNA from 1 species